rnacentral:lncRNA from 1 species
ACAGGGUUCAGUUGCAUGUGAGUGCACACACACAUCCCCCAGCAGAAACAGGUUACCCCUGGGAGCAGCUCCUAUAUCCCCCAGCAGAAACAGGUUACCCCUGGGAGCAGCUCCUAUGUCCUCCAGAGAAAAGGACCCAGCUUCAGCUUGAGCCUGGGAAUGACCUGCAGGUGCCCCUGGGUAUUGCCAUGUUGUACACCUGGCUCAGGAUCAGCCCCAGCUCCCCAUUCCCAGUUGCUAGAUUAGUGGGAUGGGAGAUACGUACAGAGGGCCAACGUGGGCAAGUGGGGAAGCUUGAAAGUGAGAGGCGGCGGUCCAUAGGCUGUAGGAGUGAAAGUUAAGAUGAGGUUUUGCAGGAAAACCCACAGAGUUGGGGCGUAGAGAGCGCAGUGAGACCGUGGGCGUGGUGAGGGAGGCUCUGGGACUACUCCAGGAAAAGGCCGACAGGGAGAAGGGGUUUGGUAACAGCAGGCUUGGAGAUCUGGAGGAUCAUUUGAAAUGAGAACACUGAAGGGAGUUAUGCGUUGUACUUUU